CCCCCCGCGUCCCAAACUGCGCACAAUAGCGGCCGGCUCCUCUAUCUAUUUUGUGUCCAGCCGGAGCCGCGCGCGAUGAUUCAUUGCCCCAAUUAGGGGCUCUCUCCAGCGCGCCCGGCUCAAGCCGUCUGAAGGGUCUCCUGGGGGACCCGCCGAAACCCAUCAGCGGCUGGAGCUGGUCUUUAAGUAAAGGUCAAGCAGGACGCGGGAGGAGCCAGGGGCCAAACAGGAUUCAGACCCAGGACAUCGGGCUCCAGGCCCUACUCUUGACCACCAGGGCGAGUAGCCGUGCGAGGCAAACGUCUGGUACACGUCGCAGGUCUGCUGAUGGGGACGGUCCAUGGCAGGACAAGGACAGGAUCCCUGGGUCCUCCCGGAUGAUAUGGCUCAGGCCCUGGUCCAAUCCAGGCAUCUCCAGACCUCUCAUUUCCCAUCUGUGAAAUGGCACCGCUUCCAGCUUCAAAAUUCUACAAGUCUCUGACUUCUGGGCCGUUUACAGCUUCCUCAUUUGCAAGCAGCAGCCCAGAGUCAGCCUGGGGACAAAGGUACCCGGUGGUCCCCUCCACCCUCUGGGACACUGAAAUGUAAAUAAAACUGGGCUUCCUCUUGGCAAGGAAGAGGGCCAUGCAUUGUAAAUAAAUGCAAGAAGAAGGCCUCCAGAUUCCCUGGGGGAUAUUCCAGGGCUUGAGGUCCAAGGGUUAACAGGAAAUCAUCAUUGGUUGGGACUUUGGGCCUUCACCCUGGCCCAGAGGAAUGCUGUGUCAGCAAAACUGUCCCGAAGGAAUGUUGGGGGCGGGGCAGGGGGCUUUUUGGCUCCUGGCAUUUUUAAUACCUGGAGAGCAGAGGAGGGCUGAUACGGAGAAGUUUAAAGGGCAGUGUCUGUUGAAUUGCAUCCUUGCACAGUUCAAGGGGGACUAUUAGGUCCCACACAGACUGAGAGGUUGCUAGUAAGGCACUGCCUGACUGGGGACAUGCAGGCCAGCAGCUUCUUCACCACUUUUGCAGCCCAUUCUCUUUGUUGGAUUCCUCUCUUGACUCACCUGGCUCAAGUGCCCUUUUCCUUGACCAGCGUUGGCCUCUGUGUGACCAUCCAGAUCUCGCAGGAGCACUCACUCCCUGGCCCCGGGGCCUGGCUCGGAAACCUCUGUGACAUUCUGGGUGAUAUCUUUUCUUUCUGGGCACUGUGUGGGCACGGCUUGUAAUUGCUGUUUGUAAUUAUGGCUUCAUGAGCGUGGCUACUUGGCUAACAUCUGUCUCCCCUCGGAUUUGCAAGUUUCAUGAGGGCGAGGCCCAGGCAUCUGUUUUUGCUCAACUGUGUAUCUCCAGGACCAGAACCAAGUUGAUGUCUGCCACUUAGGGGGCACUCAAUAAACAUGUGCUGAAUAACGGGCAAAUGAAUGAAUGAGGA
rnacentral:lncRNA from 1 species